GACGAACGCUGGCGGCGUGCUUAACACAUGCAAGUCGAACGGAAAGGCCCUGCUUUUGUGGGGUGCUCGAGUGGCGAAAGGGUGAGUAACACGUGAGUAACCUGCCCUUGACUUUGGGAUAACUUCAGGAAACUGGGGCUAAUACCGGAUAGGAGCUCCUGCUGCAUGGUGGGGGUUGGAAAGUUUCGGCGGUUGGGGAUGGACUCGCGGCUUAUCAGCUUGUUGGUGGGGUAGUGGCUUACCAAGGCUUUGACGGGUAGCCGGCCUGAGAGGGUGACCGGCCACAUUGGGACUGAGAUACCGCCCAGACGCCUACGGGAGGCAGGAGUGGGGAAUAGUGCACAAUGGGCGGAAGCCUGAUGCAGCAACGCCGCGUGCGGGAUGACGGCCUUCGGGUUGUAAACCGCUUGCGCCUGUGACGAAGCGUGAGUGACGGUAAUGGGUAAAGAAGCACCGGCUAACUACGUG
rnacentral:rRNA from 1 species